CAACUUUCAACAACGGAUCUCUUGGUUCUGGCAUCGACGAAGAACGCAGCGAAAUGCGAUAAGUAGUGUGAAUUGCAGAAUUCAGUGAAUCAUCGAAUCUUUGAACGCACAUUGCGCCCUUUGGUAUUCCAAAGGGCAUGCCUGUUCGAGCGUCAUU
rnacentral:rRNA from 1 species